AUUUUAAUAUUAUUCGUACCUAAUUGUAUUGUAUCUGUUUUACUACAAAAAUGUAUAUAUAUAUUGUUUUAUAAAUAAAGUUUUUUCGUCAAUAAAGAUAAUAUAACAGAUAGAUUUAGGAGAGCUAGAGGAGCUAAGCUCCAUUCAUAAUCAAAAAUGCUCAGAACAAUUUUAACGAAGAAGAUUAUUGAUUUACAAAGAUAUUUAUUUAUUUAUUUUUAUUCUGUGGACAACUUUUCUACCAGAGGAAUUGCUC